UAUUGAUGAUAUGGGCAGUCCCAAAGAAGAGCUUUGAACCUCUCCCAUGUAUGAUAUAAAUUCUCACCUGUCUUUUAUUUGAAGCACAUAAUCUUACUGUGCAGUCU
rfam:Capsicum annuum cultivar Zunla-1 chromosome 3, whole genome shotgun sequence